CGGACGGGUGAGUAAUGUCUGGGAAACUGCCUGAUGGAGGGGGAUAACUACUGGAAACGGUAGCUAAUACCGCAUAACGUCGCAAGACCAAAGAGGGGGACCUUCGGGCCUCUUGCCAUCGGAUGUGCCCAGAUGGGAUUAGCUAGUAGGUGGGGUAACGGCUCACCUAGGCACGAUCCCUAGCUGGUCUGAGAGGAUGACCAGCCACACUGGAACUGAGACACGGUCCAG
rnacentral:rRNA from 1 species